rnacentral:rRNA from 1 species
AUGACUAACUUGACGCCUCCUUGCGCCCGUGGCUCCACGGCGACUUCCUGGACACCAGCUACCCCGACUCGACAUCGACCACGGCAUUCUUCGCACGGCUACAUCACCCUACGCUCUCAACUAAAUCGACAAACGGCACAAAGGGCUACCGCCUUGCUUGAGCAACCUUGUCGGUUUCCUUCCAGCCACGACUUUCGCGAUGCAUCGACCAUUACGACUGUGGGGGGUGUCCGUCGGCUUGUCUUCGGAUUCUUCUCCAGUCUCACUGUCUGUGUCGCUCCCGUUGUAACUGCGGGGGGAUGUUGA